CUUAGCAUUUGUUUUCCACACUAUGAUUAGGAUUAAGGGUACUGUGACAGAAAACAAGCGGCAUUAUUUUUAUUGCAGCAUUUAGGUUAAGAGACAUUUUUAAUAUUGGCUUAAUAGUUAGGCUUACAUAUACACUGUGGGUUAACAUAAUUAUCAUUAGAGCUCACAUUAAGCUACGGGUUCAGGUCAAGAUUAACAUUCACGCUGCCUCCCAGCCAGUCCCAGAGAGCCAAAGAAAAAAGGCAAGCUGAACUCGCACCGAAAGCCAAGGUAAAGGCAAAGCAAACAGCCAAGGCGAAGGGAAGGGCAAAAGCAAGGAGAGCACCCAACGGAAAGCCAAGGUGAGGGCGAGGAGACAGCAGCAGGAAAAACCAAGGGCAAAGGCCAAGAGAACACAGCAAAAAAUGCCAAAACAGAAGGCCAAGGGAACACGGCAUGGAAUGCUCAGGUCAGGGCAAGGGCUAAGAGAACGUGGCAGGAAGUGCCAAAACAGGAGGCUAAAGAGAACACGGCACAGAAGGCCAAGGCAGAAGGCUGAGAGAAGGUGGCUGGGAACACCAGAACAUGAUGCCAAAGAGAACACCGCAGGAAAUGCCCAAACAGGAGGGCAAGAGAACACUGCAGGGAACGCCAAAACUGAAUGCUGAAGAGAACAUGGCAGAAGAAAAACAAGUUCAAUAGCCAAGAGAAUGUGGCACGGAACGCAAGAACAGGAGGGCAAGGGAACGCCUAGGUAAGGGCCAAGAGAAUGUGGAAGGAAAUGCCAAGGAAAUGGCCAAGAGAACACGACAAGAAACGCCAAAACAGAAGGGCAAGAGAGCACUGCAGGGAACGCCAAAACUGAAUGUUGAAGUGAAUGUGGCCAAGAAAGUCAAGGGCAAUGGCCAAGAGAACAUGACAAGGAAUGCAAAAACACGAGGGCAAGAGAAUGCAGUAGGGAACGCCAAGGGCAAAGGGAAGGAGAACACCGCAGUGAAAGGCCAGAGCCAAGGAGAACGUGCAAAGAAUAGGACGGGCAGCCUUCGGGGCACCCUGAAGUGCAGAAAGGAGCUCUGGGAACUCCACCUUGUGUCUCACUGAGUAAGCGGUAAACACUGGUGGGUGGCAAUGGCCAAGAGAACAUGACAAGGAAUGCAAAAACACGAGGGCAAGAGAAUGCAGUAGGGAACGCCAAGGGCAAAGGGAAGGAGAACACCGCAGUGAAAGGCCAGAGCCAAGGAGAACGUGCAAAGAAUAGGACGGGCAGCCUUCGGGGCACCCUGAAGUGCAGAAAGGAGCUCUGGGAACUCCACCUUGUGUCUCACUGAGUAAGCGGUAAACACUGGUGGGUGUGCAUUGUCCUUACCUGCUGGGCAGACAAUUACCAGUCAGCAAAGUGGGCUCCAGGGCAUCCCGGGAAAUGCAGCUUUCGGUUCCUGGCUGUUCCCGUGAAGACCCGCACAUCUCUCCGUGCAGUCCUUACAGCACUCGGGAGCGCUGCAGCUCUCUGCUGCCACCUGUUGGACACAAUGCAGUAAUGAAGGCGC
ensembl:lncRNA